rnacentral:rRNA from 1 species
CCUACGGGUGGCAGCAGUAGGGAAUCUUCCACAAUGGGCGAAAGCCUGAUGGAGCAACGCCGCGUGGGUGAAGAAGGUCUUCGGAUCGUAAAACCCUGUUGUUAGAGAAGAAAGUGCGUGAGAGUAACUGUUAACGUUUCGACGGUAUCUAACCAGAAAGCCCAGGAUAACUACGUGCCAGCAGCCGCGGUAAUACGUAGGUGGCAAGCGUUAUCCGGAUUUAUUGGGCGUAAAGGGAACGCAGGCGGAAUUUUAAGUCAGAUGUGAAAGCCUUGGGCUUAACCGGAGUAGUGCAUUAGAAACUGGGAGACUUGAGUGCAGAAGAGGAGGGUGGAACUCCAUGUGUAGCGGUGAAAUGCGUAGAUAUAUGGAAGAACACCAGUGGCGAAGGCGGCUCUCUGGUCUGUAACUGACGCUGAGGUUCGAAAGCGUGGGUAGCAAACAGGAUUAGAUACCCGGGUAGUC